rnacentral:rRNA from 1 species
CCUACGGGAGGCAGCAGUAGGGAAUAUUGCUCAAUGGGGGAAACCCUGAAGCAGCAACGCCGCGUGGAGGAUGAAGGUUUUCGGAUUGUAAACUCCUUUUGUUAGAGAAGAUAAUGACGGUAUCUAACGAAUAAGCACCGGCUAACUCCGUGCCAGCAGCCCCGGUAAUACGGAGGGUGCAAGCGUUACUCGGAAUCACCGGGCGUAAAGCGCGCGUAGGCGGGAGAGCAAGUCAGCGGUGAACUCCUAUGGCUUGACCAUAGAACUGCCUUUGAAACUGUUCUUCUAGAGUAUGGGAGAGGUAGGUGGAAUGCUUGGUGUAGGGGUAAAAUCCGUAGAGAUCAAGAGGAAGACUCAUUGCGAAGGCGACCUGCUAGAACAUAACUGACGCUGAGGCGCGAAAGCGUGGGGAGCAAACAGGAUUAGAUACCCCAGUAGUC